ensembl:lncRNA
AUACGAAAAUGAGCUCUCCAUCCCUCCGGCAUCCUUUAGGCUCUCAUUCUUGAAUGGGAAAUAAAUUGCCCUUCACCGUAAAUGCGGCAACGCUCAUCGGCUUCGUGUAUUUCACGAGCGCAACGCCUUGGUUUCACCUGUGAUGUCUAAAGGCGAAUUUUGCAUUUAAUUCCCAGAGCAGAGCCGGGGCCGUGGAUCGGUCGGAACCCGCGAGGUUCCUCGUCCCGUCCAUGUGACACAGAGGUGUCGCGGCAUCAGCAGCGCAACCAAAACCGCGCUGCGAGAAACUGCUCGCGUUCCUUCUGCACUUGGGGCAGAGCGGUGUCACACAGAAAACACUAAGACCAAACCGACCCGCAACCGCAUAAAUCCCUUUAAUUUAGUGGGUCCUCCACAGCUCCGGCAUCUCACGGAAAAAACAACGUUUGGGGGCUGAGGAGGUGUGGGAGGUUAAAAGCUCUCUCUUAAAACGACCAGGAGACAGCAGACAUGGAUUUGAUUUAAUUUUUUUCUUUUUCUUUUUUUUUUUUUUUUCUUUCCAAGGUCCCUUGUCCCUUUUGUGUUCCCUUUCCUCCCUUGUUUCCUUCCUUUCUCCGGGAGGGGCGGCGAGGCUGGAGCGGUGCUGAGCCCACCGGCGGCUUCUCUGGAACCGCACAAAUGGACCCUCGCGGGGCGGCGGAGCGGGGAGCGAGAGGGAGCCUCCUGCUCCAUCUCCAACUACUGCCAUUGGUGACAGCAGAAGGUCUGUGGGGACAGCAGGAGGCCAAGGGGACAGCAAGAGGCCUUUGGGGACAGCAGGAAGCUCUGCAUGAGAUGGUGACCAAAGCUCCCGCAGCCGUCCCUGUGGCAAGAACACCCACAGCAGCAGUGGCCUGGAAACAUCACAUUGCUGUGACUCAGCAGAGGACCUUUUUCUGGAGAGGCACUCCACCUGAGGUGUGUUAUCUUUGUUAUCUGCUCUUGACAGUUCCCUUGCAAUCAAUGAAGUGUAUUCUUUCAA